GUAGGGUGCAAGCGUUAAUCGGAAUUACUGGGCGUAAAGCGUGCGCAGGCGGUUUUGUAAGUCUGUCGUGAAAGCCCCGGGCUUAACCUGGGAAUUGCGAUGGAGACUGCAAGGCUUGAAUCUGGCAGAGGGGGUAGAAUUCCACGUGUAGCAGUGAAAUGCGUAGAGAUGUGGAGGAACACCGAUGGCGAAGGCAGCCCCCUGGGUCAAGAUUGACGCUCAUGCACGAAAGCGUGGGGGAGCAAACAGGAUUAGAUACCCUGGUAGUCCACGCCCUAAACGAUGUCUACUAGUUGUCGGGUCUUAAUUGACUUGGUAACGCAGCUAACGCGUGAAGUAGACCGCCUGGGGAGUACGGUCGCAAGAUUA
rnacentral:rRNA from 1 species